UGAAAAUCCAGGUUAUCCGGCUC
rnacentral:piRNA from 1 species